rnacentral:rRNA from 1 species
GAUGAACGCUGGCGGCGUGCCUAAUACAUGCAAGUCGAGCGAACAGACGAGGAGCUUGCUCCUCUGACGUUAGCGGCGGACGGGUGAGUAACACGUGGAUAACCUACCUAUAAGACUGGGAUAACUUCGGGAAACCGGAGCUAAUACCGGAUAAUAUAUUGAACCGCAUGGUUCAAUAGUGAAAGACGGUUUUGCUGUCACUUAUAGAUGGAUCCGCGCCGCAUUAGCUAGUUGGUAAGGUAACGGCUUACCAAGGCAACGAUGCGUAGCCGACCUGAGAGGGUGAUCGGCCACACUGGAACUGAGACACGGUCCAGACUCCUACGGGAGGCAGCAGUAGGGAAUCUUCCGCAAUGGGCGAAAGCCUGACGGAGCAACGCCGCGUGAGUGAUGAAGGUCCUCGGAUCGUAAAACUCUGUUAUUAGGGAAGAACAAAUGUGUAAGUAACUAUGCACGUCUUGACGGUACCUAAUCAGAAAGCCACGGCUAACCACGUG